CCGUCUCAGCCUGUAUUUACAGAUCCGCCUUUGUGUCCUGUUGACUGUUUCAUGCCUUCAACCAGGAGCUCCAUACGCAUGAGGAGGAGGCACAAUCAUCAAAGGCCUCUCCCCGCCAGCGUCUGCGCAGCCCUCCGGGUUGGGACAGGACUCUGCAGUGAUGCCCUCGGUCCCGGUAAACACCUCCAUUUCCAGCCACGCUUUUACAUUCCACAUGCCUGUCCUGGGUGGGCAAGAGGGGCAGUGACCAAGGGCGACUCCAGAGCAGAAAAGCUCCCCCGGCGGCCCUCCCCGUCUCCUGACCGCGGAGCCGCCGCCGUCCAAUCAACGGCUGAAGCGACAUCCGCCGCCCGCGGCUUCGGUCUGAGUCCCCACGUGCUCCCCACCCUGCGCCUGCUGUGAUCCGCCCCAAAGCCUUCGUGUGCAGCCCUGCACACUCAUUAUGGGCGCUUAUAUCUACUCUUUUUUUUUUGAAUUUAACUUUUUUAAGGGUGGUAAAAGUCACAUAAUAGGAAACAUGCUCUUUGAACCGCAUUUAAGUCUAUAAUUCAGGGCCCUGAGUACACUCACACUGUUGCACAAAUCUCGCCAUCGCCCAUCUCCUGAAUGUCUCACCUUCUGAGACUGGACUCUGUCCCUAUGAAACACCAACUGUCCACUCUCGCCCCAGCCUGUAUUUGUCCCUGGCGCCCGCCAGGGUACUUUCUGACUCUGUGAGUUUGACUGUUUGGGGUACCUUGUAUAAGUGGAAUCACAGUAUUUGUCUGCACCGAAUGUGUGCUGGAAUGAUUUUUUAGGGUCGCCAUACGUCCUACAAACAGGUUGCGAGUAUGCUCAGUCACUCAGUCAUGGCUGACUCUUUGCGAUCCCAACUGUAGCCCACUAGGCUCCUCUGUCCAUGGGAU
ensembl:lncRNA